UCGAAGUUGUUCCCUAACUUGUGAACUACAACAUAUCCAAAUUUGAGGUCCCUCGGAGCAGUAUAACUCCAGAAAUCCAGGUAUGAUGAGUGACUGUUUAUCAUUUGUCUGUCAACCCGUCAGAUUUGUUGUGAGCUUUGAAACUCUAUUUUCUCUUGCUCAGAUCAGCAUGCUUUCUUCAUUGAAGUUGUUCCUCAGCUCGUGAACUACAACAUAUCCAAAUUUGAGAUCCCUCGGAGCAGUAUAACUCCAGAAAUCCAGGUAUGAUGAAUGACUGGUUAUUAUUUUUCUGUCAACCCGUCAGAUUUGUUGUGAGCUUCGAAACUCCAUUUUCUCUUGUUCAGAUCGGUAUGCUUUCUUCAUUGAAGUUGUUCCUCAUCGACUCUUUCAUAACAUAUCAAAAAAUUCAGGAUGAACUAACGGUUAAAUAUUUCCAGAUCUUCGAAACAUCACAACAGCUUCGAAAUCUGCAAGAAGCCGACUAUCAUGUUUGGAGCUUCAACACUUUAAUUUCCGUCGCUCAAACAGAAAUGGUUCCUUCUUGAAAGUUGUUCAUAUGCUCAAGAAC
rnacentral:lncRNA from 1 species